rnacentral:tRNA from 1 species
GCAUUGGUGGUUCAGUGGUAGAAUUCUUACCUUCCAUGCAGGAGACCCAGGUCAAUUCCCAGCCAACGUA